UACGGAGGGUGCGAGCGUUGUCCGGAAUCACUGGGCGUAAAGGGCGCGUAGGCGGCUGGGGAAGUCGGCGGUGAAAGCCCGGAGCUCAACUCCGGGUCGGCCGUCGAGACUCCUCGGCUCGAGCUCACUAGAGGCAGAUGGAAUUCCGGGUGUAGCGGUGGAAUGCGUAGAGAUCCGGAAGAACACCAGUGGCGAAGGCGGCUCACUGGCCCGGUACUGACGCUGAGGCACGAAAGCGUGGGGAGCAAACAGG
rnacentral:rRNA from 1 species